rnacentral:rRNA from 1 species
UCCGGAGGGAGCUAGCGUUGUUCGGAAUUACUGGGCGUAAAGCGCACGUAGGCGGCUUUGUAAGUUAGAGGUGAAAGCCCGGGGCUCAACUCCGGAACUGCCUUUAAGACUGCAUCGCUUGAAUCCAGGAGAGGUGAGUGGAAUUCCGAGUGUAGAGGUGAAAUUCGUAGAUAUUGGGAAGAACACCGGUGGCGAAGGCGGCCAGCUGGACCGGCACUGACGCUGAGGCGCGAAAGCCAGGGGAGCGAAUGGG